rnacentral:rRNA from 1 species
AACGUAGGACGCGAGCGUUAUCCGGAGUUACUGGGCGUAAAGCGCGGGCAGGCGGUCUGACAAGUCUGAUGUGAAAUCUCCGGGCUUAACUCGGAAAGGUCAAGUGAUACUGUCGGGCUAGAGUACAGAAGGGGCAACUGGAAUUCUCGGUGUAGCGGUGAAAUGCGUAGAUAUCGAGAGGAACACCUGCGGCGAAGGCGGGUUGCUGGGCUGAUACUGACGCUGAUGCGCGAAAGCCAGGGGAGCGAACGGG